CGAAUGAUUUAAACUGACCCUGACCGGUCCGUCCUUGGCCCAUGCCUUCGCCGCCACCGCCGCCGCCGCCGCCUCCGCCUCCGCCGCCACCGCGGAUCAGCUCCAUGCACGGACUGUUCUCCGGCCAUUUGGCCUUCAAAGUCUCCCAGGCAACGUUGACCGUGGCUCCGAUGGAUGGAGUUUCGCGCAGGAACAAUUAGGGACUGUGUAAUUGGAUGAUUCUUUUUUCUGAGGAGGAUAACGAGGCAAAGCACAAAAUUCCACAGUGCGUCCCCUAGCAAGACAAUCGGCGUAGAACGAUCAAUGCGAGCCCGUGCAAACAUCCCCGCGGAGACCACUAAGCUCUAGAUCAGUUCGCGCACAAGUGAUGUCUCUCGCUUGUAUCGACGAAGAGAGAGUGUCGCGCUUACCGAACGACAAGGGAUCUUCCGCUUCUGAUGUUCUUGCCCCGAGGAGAUGCCGCUCGCCCUCUCGGUCGGUCCUCGACGGUGGUGGAGUCUCGCGUGACGAUCGACGACGACGAGAGACGUUGACGAGUCGUAGAAGCGUUGCAGAAGCGGUUCAACUCAAAACGACCGCGACUCCGGAUGUAAACGGGGCUUCAUGAAGAGGUAGAAGAGAAAGAAAGAAGAGAAAGAGCGAGAGAGAGCGAGAGAGAGAGCGAGAAAGAGAGAGAGAGAAGAGUGAACGAAAGAAACAGACAGAGAGAGAGAGAGAGAGAGAGAGAGAGAAAGAGAGAGAGAGAAAGAAAGAGAGGAGGAUGAAACCGAGAGAGUGUCUAACUAGCCGGAUUGCGAAGCCGCAUGAUGAUGUUGCUCACCUACGAUCUACGCCGCGACUUGCGAGGCCAGAAUCGUGUGAGCCCUCGAUCCGCGGCAUCGACUAGCAGGGAACACGGCGGCGUUUCAAAGGGAUCGGGAGAUCGGGGGAAUAUGGCCAGCUUUCCCUGAACGCGCAAGGCUCGAUCGAUGGUCCACGAGAGAGGGACGUAUCAUCCCGCGUGCGCUCCUCUCGCAGUGCUGUAUCCGCGCCCCGCUUCACCCCGAACGGGGGUGAGACGAGCCGCGCAUCCCCCACGGCGAGAGCCGGGUUAAUGUAAUCGAGGCGCAUGAGUACUCGCUUGUGUUCGUUCGUUGAGAGCCGCGGAGAAAUUACGAGAUCCCGCGGAGUUUGUCGACUGAUCUCGGACGUCGGAGCCAACACUAGCGGACGAAGGCAUCGUCGUCUUGGAAGAAACGCUUGUUUCGCUUGUUUCGGGUUUUACUUAUUGUUAAUUACAAUUGAUCGCAGUCGCGCGCACUCGCAUUGAUUAGAUUCAAAAGACUCAGGGAUCUUGAUCGAAUUUAUUGAGCGAGAGAUUACGACUGAACAUGCAGAAUAAGUCGUUUGUUGCUUGCAAAUUCUAAAUUUGAUGCGGAGAGCACCGCUUCGAUCAGAUCGACGGCGCGGAUGAUUUUCUCCGCGAUUGUAGACUUUUUAAUUCUGCAAGAUGCUUCUCGCUUCAAGUUGCUUCUCGCGCGACAGAAGGUGAGUCGCGCAAAAGAAGGAACGAAGGCGGAAACGGGAUCGUUUGUGUAUCUCGAGGGGAUAUGAUGAGAUAGUCUGUUUUAAUAAAUAAAGAAACCAAUCCGCAUUUUUA
rnacentral:lncRNA from 1 species